CUGCCUACGGGGGGCAGCAGUGAGGAAUAUUGGUCAAUGGACGCAAGUCUGAACCAGCCAAGUAGCGUGCAGGAUGACGGCCCUCCGGGUUGUAAACUGCUUUUAGUUGGGAAUAAAAGGGGGCUCGUGAGCCCCGUAUUGUAUGUACCAUCAGAAAAAGGACCGGCUAAUUCCGUGCCAGCAGCCGCGGUAAUACGGAGGAUGCGAGCGUUAUCCGGAUUUAUUGGGUUUAAAGGGUGCGUAGGCGGAUUUUUAAGUCAGCGGUAAAAUGUCCGGGCUCAACCCGGGCCGGCCGUUGAAACUGG
rnacentral:rRNA from 1 species